AAAAGAGAAAGAUAAUGAUGUUGACAAUGUUUUAUUAUGCUCUGGCUUUCACCAUUUUUGCAUUUUUUGCAGUGCUGAAAUGGAACAGCUUAAGGUACUCAAGGAAAGGAAUGCCUCCAGGGUCACUGGGAUGGCCUUUUGUUGGGGAGACUAUCAAAUUUCUCACACAAGGACCAGAUUUCAUGAAAAGGGGCACAUUAAGACAUGGAAGUCUCUUCAAAACUCAUGUAUUG
rnacentral:sRNA from 1 species